rnacentral:tRNA from 1 species
GAAUCGAACUUGGGUUUCAUCGGCCACAACGAUGUGUACUGACCAC